AUUGAACGCUGGCGGCAGGCCUAACACAUGCAAGUCGAACGAGUGGCGGACGGGUGAGUAAUGUCUGGGAAACUGCCCGAUGGAGGGGGAUAACUACUGGAAACGGUAGCUAAUACCGCAUACCAUCGGAUGUGCCCAGAUGGGAUUAGCUAGUCGGUGGGGUCACGGCUCACCUAGGCGACGAUCCCUAGCUGGGCUGAGAGGAUGAGCAGGCACACUGGAACUGAGACACGGUACAGACUCCUACGGGAGGCAGCAGAGGGGAAUAUUGCACAAGGGGCGAAAGCCUGAUGCAGCCAUGCCGCGUAGAUGAAGAAGGCCUGCGGGUUGGAAAGUACUUUCAGCUAGGAGGCGUUACUAGCAGAAGAAGCACCGGCUAACUCCGUGCCAGCAGCCGCGGUAAUAC
rnacentral:rRNA from 1 species